rnacentral:tRNA from 1 species
GGGACACAGCUCAGUGGUGGAGUGCUUGCCUAGCAUGCGUGAGACCCUGGGUUCAAUCCCAGUACCA